rnacentral:rRNA from 1 species
GAUGAACGCUGGCGGCGUGCCUAAUACAUGCAAGUCGAGCGAACGGACGAGAAGCUUGCUUCUCUGAUGUUAGCGGCGGACGGGUGAGUAACACGUGGAUAACCUACCUAUAAGACUGGGAUAACUUCGGGAAACCGGAGCUAAUACCGGAUGAUAUUUUGAACCGCAUGGUUCAAAAGUGAAAGACGGUCUUGCUGUCACUUAUAGAUGGAUCCGCGCUGCAUUAGCUAGUUGGCAAGGUAACGGCUUACCAAGGCAACGAUGCAUAGCCGACCUAAGAGGGUGAUCGGCCACACUGGAACUGAGACACGGUCCAGACUCCUACGGGAGGCAGCAGUAGGGAAUCUUCCGCAAUGGGCGAAAGCCUGACGGAGCAACGCCGCGUGAGUGAUGAAGGUCUUCGGAUCGUAAAACUCUGUUAUUAGGGAAGAACAUAUGUGUAAGUAACUGUGCACAUCUUGACGGUACCUAAUCAGAAAGCCACGGCUAACUACGUG